CGCAGCCGCGGUAAUUCCAGCUCCAAUAGCGUAUAUUAAAGUUGUUGCAGUUAAAAAGCUCGUAGUUGAAUUUCGGGAUCAAUAUAUCGGUCGUGCCUUGGUACGUACUGGUAUCAUUGGUUUCUCCUUUCUGACGAACCAUGAUGUCAUUAAUUUGGUGUUAUGGGGAAUCAGGACUGUUACUUUGAAAAAAUUAGAGUGUUUAAAGCAGGCUCACGCUUGAAUACAUUAGCAUGGAAUAACGGAAUAGGACGUUUGAUUCUAUUUUGUUGGUUUCUAGGAUCGACGUAAUGAUUAAUAGGGAUAGUUGGGGGCAUUAGUAUUCAAUUGUCAGAGGUGAAAUUCUUGGAUUUAUUGAAGACUAACUACUGCGAAAGCAUUUGCCAAGGAUGUUUUCAUUAAUCAAGAACGAAAGUUAGGGGAUCGAAGACGAUCGGAUACCGUCGUAGUCUUAACCAUAAACUAUGCCGACUAGGGAUCGGAUGAUGUUAAUUUUUAAUGACUCAUUCGGCGCCUUACG
rnacentral:rRNA from 1 species